GUGGGGAAUUUUGGACAAUGGGCGCAAGCCUGAUCCAGCCAUGCCGCGUGCAGGAUGAAGGCCUUCGGGUUGUAAACUGCUUUUGUACGGAACGAAAAGACUCCUUCUAAUAAAGGGGGUCCAUGACGGUACCGUAAGAAUAAGCACCGGCUAACUACGUGCCAGCAGCCGCGGUAAUACGUAGGGUGCGAGCGUUAAUCGGAAUUACUGGGCGUAAAGCGUGCGCAGGCGGUUAUGUAAGACAGAUGUGAAAUCCCCGGGCGCAACCUGGGAACUGCAUUGGUGACUGCAUAGCUAGAGUACGGCAGAGGGGGAUGGAAUUCCGCGUGUAGCAGUGAAAUGCGUAGAUAUGCGGAGGAACACCGAUGGCGAAGGCAAUCCCCUGGGCCCGUACUGACGCUCAUGCACGAAAGCGUGGGGAGCAAACAGGAUUAGAAACCCUGGUAGUCC
rnacentral:rRNA from 1 species